AUGCCAAACACUUUGCCACCUAGGAUAGUCUAUAUUUGUAUUUCAUCCAGUUAUCUCAUAUUUCCAGUAAAAAAACUCUUCGCUUUGGGGUUUUGGAAUAAUCUUCAGGAAGUUGGUGACGAGUUAGUAGAACUUAUAGAAAUUGUAGAAAAUAGCCCCUACGAAAUUACAAAGAGCGAGAAUAAGGAAGCUGGCAAACUUAGUGCUUCAUGGUAUUUCAGUAGAAAGGAAAUAGAAGAGAAUUCUCCGUCUAAGAGGGAUGGCAUUGAUUUAAAGAAAGAGACUUACCUUCGGAAAUCGUAUUGCACUUAUCUACAAGAUUUGGGGAUGCGGCUCAAAGUGUAA
rnacentral:rRNA from 1 species